rnacentral:lncRNA from 1 species
UGACCUCAAUCUACUACUACAAAAGUUCGUCAUAGCAACUCCUUUGAACCACAUAACCAAAUUUCAUUAAACUUAGAUGUGCAUAUCGACAGGAAAUAGAGAUGACUUUUUUUCUCCGAGUUGUGCCCCUUUGUACUUACUGGCUAAAUCUACCACUGCAACAUCUUUGAAACCACACAACAGAAUUUCGAGAAACUUUGUAGACAAUAAGGACAUACUAUAUAGGUUUUCUAGGAGUUUUGUGUGCACCUUUCAACUUAUUGGCAUCAUUCCACUACUGCAACAACUCGUCAUUACAACCAUGCAACAGAAUUUCAUGAAACUUUCUAGUUAUCAGGGACAUAGGUUAAUAUGCAUAUCCACAAGAAUUUUUUUAUCAGUUGACUUUUAUAGAGUUGUGAGUUUUUGAACUUGGGAAUCUUGUCAGAUUUUGUUUGCCCAGUGACAGUGUGGGGGCAUGGGGUAUGUGAGUGUUCACAAAGGAACUUUAUUCCUCAUAUAAAAG